UUUGCACAGGUUGCAAAGUUGAGGGGCUUUUUUGAAUUUUGUUACACUAGAGGGCCUAUAUGGCCAUUUCACUUCCUUUUCUCCCUCAUUUCACUCUCCCAUUUAUUUUUAGAGAGAGAAGAAGAAGAAGGAGGAGAAGAAAGGAGAAGGAGAGCUUGUUUGAGGACUUGGAGCUUCACCCUCACCCUCUCUUCUUCCUUUUGGUGGGUUGGAGCUUGCUUUUGGAGCUUGGUGGUGGACCAAUCUUCAACCCUAGAGGACUUAGAGCUUGGAUUGAAGCUUCCAAGAGGUUGGUAACAAGUUUCUUUCAUUAGAUUCUUGUUUUGAUGGUUUCUUUGAGAUGAAACCCUAGAAUGAGGUUUUAGGGUUGAUUUUGGGCAUUUUGGAUUUAGGGCUUUUGGAGCUCAAUCUCUUGGAUUAGAACCUUC
rnacentral:lncRNA from 1 species